UCUGGCCCCGAGUCCGCACGUUUGCGGCCCAGAGACGGACGACCCCGGAAAAUCGGGGUGUUCCGUUCCCAGUGUUUGGGGCACACGGUCACAGCUGGGGCCCUUGAGGUGACCUCACAGGCGCUCCGGGCAGGGUGGGUCGGGGCAAGGGCACCGCACGUAUCCUGGGGGGCUCUUUCCCGAGACUCACAUAGCAUCUCUCUCCUUCCAGGACUCACCCCUGCGGCCCGUCACCUUGUUCUGCAAGUGACCCCUGACGUUCAGACGACUGACCGUGCACCACCCUCAGGUCGAGAAGCGGUGUCCGGAAGGGGGCUUCUGUACACGGUCGGCCUUCCUCGCGGUCCUGCCGUCAGCCACGAGGGUCCUUGGACGGAGAUCUAACGGUCCCACUGCCAAACCUUUGCCCAAGCCGUGCCCUGCACCCGAAGCCACGCCUCCUUUUCCUGCCACCUCCGGCACACUCCCCCAGGCGACGCGCUUUGCCCACCCACCACGCGCUUGUGACGCUGUAACCUUUGACGGUUACCGGACGUGGCCCGGAGGAGCCCUGGUCUGUGAGAGCGGAUGCAAGCGGGGUGCUCGGCUCUGUCUCUCAGGUGCACCUGCUACCCUCGGGCUCACCCUGCCUGGAGGGCCUCUGGGGCCAGGAAUCCUUGAGGGAGCCCCUUGGCUCUGCCCAGCCGUGAACCAGCCCUCGACUGCAAUCCUGAUGUGCCUCGGCCGCCCGCCACCGGCCCAAGAGGCCACUCGGUAAGUCCAGCCUGGGAGAAGAACAAAGGGAGAACGAAGGAAGCCGAGCGACCUGCUUCUCAGGCUGGGCUGGAGGGCGGGGAUGAAGCGGGGGUACGUGUGGUGACCGCCAGGGUGGACCGGGAUGAGGGUCUCUUCCCGUCUCCCUGUCUGUCCCCACCCCGCAGGGCCCGGCCCGCGGCCCGGCCUGUUGUGCCGUCUGUGUCUCCCAGCUGGGGCUGGGCCCUCCCUGCAGCCUUAGCACAUGGGUGUCUCAGCGGCCGACCCUGGAGCCCAGAGCCCGUGCUCGGGGUCCCUCCCCCUGGGACGUUCGGGGGAGUCCUGGGCUGGGAGCCUUGGCCACUUUUCUCCUCAGCAGUGAGGCCAACAGCGGUCAGUCUCCCCACAGCGCAGUUGGGCGGGCGCCCAGGGUGCUUAGGGGCCGGGCAUGAGACCUCCGUCAGCAGCAGGGGGCAAAAAGCCAAGCCCGGCAGAGCCCAAGAGCAAGCCCCCCCGCCCCCACCACAUACAUGGGGCCGAGGCCCCCACCGGUCUGAGCCUCCGUUUCCUCACUGCAAAAAGGGAUCCGUAAUCCUAGCUUCACCAGACCCGUGAGGGCCAAAUGGCAUGGCCCAGCCUGGGGCCUGCCUGGAGGAGGCAGCCUGCUAGGAGGGGUGUGGAAGGAAGCUCAGAGCCCUUAUACCGCUGGGCGGAAAGCAGAAUGUCGUAACCUCCCCUCUGCCGCCUGUCAGCUGUGUGACCCCGUGAAGGUGAGGUUACCUCUCUGGGCCCCAGUCUGCUCACCUACAAGGUGGGCUGACAGUAGUCCUUGCCUCACCAGCUUUUCCUUGGGGGCCCCCGGCAAGGUGGCGGCCACGGUGGACAUUUAUCCAGGCCGCCUGUGCCUCCGGGCACUGAAUGCCGAGCCCUCUAGGGCCUACGGUUGUGCCCCGGCUGCCUUCCCCAGGGGAGCCAGGUCCCUUUGGAAAGAAAGAACCGCGUCCUGGGAUGUCUCCCAAAGUGGGGACAGCUCAGGUCACUUGGAACAGCGGGACCGGACUGACCAGAGUCAAUGGGGAAGGCCGCCCCUCCCCCCGCUGCCGCCCAGUGGGUGGAGGGAGCAGGCCCUGAGGCCACCCGCGCGUCUCGGGCAGCCAGAGAGGGGAGGCUGUGCUGUCAGAGGGCGGGCGGCCGGGAGGACACGGCACCUUUUUGCCACAUGUUGGCUUCUAAGUGACAGCCUUCCAGUGUCACCCUUGCAGCAGAUGUCCCUUGGCCACACGGUGGCCGCUCCGUCCGGAUGGGAGUGAUCAGUCACCUGUAGCGCUCGCCCAAAGCCACACUGCAGUGCUUGUCCCCUCCCUCUGUCUCCUCUCCUUCUUCCUCUGGUUGGUGGCUUUCUCCUGCGGGACCCCCUCUGCGCGGCGGCUCUGGGGAGUACGCGGUGCCCGGGGCCCCUGCUGGCCUGCCUGCCGGAGUCCCUGAGCCCUCGGCGCCCGCCGGCCUGGCCCCCCCCUCCCCCCCCACAGCUCUCCCGCCCCCUCCAGGAGGUGCCUCUGAAGCCACGAAGCCCGUCCCUGCGUCACGACCGACGGUCCUUUGGGGUGAGGUAGUAGGUUGUAUAGUUUGGGGCUCUGCCCUGCUCUGGGUAACUAUACAAUCUACUGUCUUUCCUGAAGUGGCUGUAAUCUCGCCGAUGGACAGCACCCGGGACCCUGGCUGGGCGGAGAUCCGGGUGCAGGUUGGGGAUGGGUAGCGGCCGUGGUAGGGUGGGGGCGGUGGCCGCCGGGCAGGAAGUCGGGCAGGCCUAGGUUCCACUUGCCGUGUGACCUUGGGCAGGUCGCCUUUGACCUCUGGGCUUCACUUCCCCCGUCUGUGAAAUGGGGACCAAUGAGGAUUGAAGAUGAUACCGUGUAAAGUGUCCAGAGCGGGGCGGGGCUCAAAGCCGACCCCCUCCCCCUCCCUACACUGCACUGAGAGCCGCCCCCGUGGCCGGCCGUGGGCACCAGUGGGGCGCGGCCGUGGACCCAGAAGGACGAGGGGCAGCUGAGACUUGGCUGGGGUUGCGGGGCUGGCCCCCAGGGACUCCCACGGGCGACCUUAGCACACCCCCCCCCCCCCGCCAUGUCCUUCCCAGCCUGCCCGGCUCAGCGUCUGGGCUCUGGUCAGCGGUGGGACGUCCCCCAGAGAGGGAGGCCGAGGCCGCCCCAUUCCUCCCCACUCGCCAUUCCAGGCAGGAAGGCGGGAGGAAGGCUCCCCGGAGUCUGGCCCCUUGGGGACACACGCUCCCUAACCCCCCCCCCCGCCCCCGCCCCCGACAGCUCGUAGGUGGAUGGCGUGGGCCUCACUGUGUGUGGGGAAGCCCACGGGCCAUCUGCGUCGUCACUCCUGCCCUGCACCUGCCCAGCCUUCCAGCUCGGCUCCGGUGGCCGCAGACCACCGGGCGGGGGCCGGGGCUGGGCGCGGGGCAGUGGCGGGACAUCGGAGCCUCCCGCUCCCCGGGCACCGGCGGGGUGAGGUAGUAGGUUGUGUGGUUUCAGGGCAGUGAUGUUGCCCCCUCGGAAGAUAACUAUACAACCUACUGCCUUCCCCGAGGAGCCCAGCGACACGUGCCCGCGGGAGGGCCGCCCCCUCGGCCGGCAGGCGACUCCGGGGCCCCGAGCGACGGGCCGGGCGGGCGGGAGGCUGCAGCGUGCGCUGCUCGACUUCAAUAAAGGCUGUUCUGAUGUGACUGGAAUCACGCCUUGUUCGUUCCC